GAAACUUGAAGAAGGAAAGGUCGGUCCUGUCCAUUAUUGAAAUGAAGACAUGGCAGCAGGAGAUUGAGGCAACUGACUACAUUUCAUCAGUAGUGAUGAAUCGGAGAAAGACAGACAUUGGCCCCUAUUCUCCAUGUUUUCUCCAGAAUUGUGGAUUUCCAAACUCCCACAAGACUGUUCCAUUAAGCUCCAUAUACAGCAUUCUGAGGUCUACCGACUGUAUUGCAAUAUUAAGUAAGGUCUAAGAAAACAACAACGCCUCAAAAAGAGAAGAGAAAAAACAGAUAUCAAUUGAACCAAUUGGUUCCAGGCAUUUAUUUUAAAAGAAUCCAAUCUCAGUUUUACAUUUUGUGCCAAUAAUUUGCUUUGAUUCCUGAGUUAUUAUUUUCUAUCACAAACUUCUCUUUCAGGGAUGUAAUAUACAAUGGCCAUCUUAAUCACACAAGAAUUUGUCAAAAGUUAUGAGUUGUGCAA